rnacentral:tRNA from 1 species
GGAGAGGUGGCCGAGCGGCUGAAGGCAACGGUUUGCUAAAUCGUCGUACUGGUUUUACCGGUACCGCGGGUUCGAAUCCCGCCCUCUCCG